rnacentral:rRNA from 1 species
GAUGAACGCUGGCGGCGUGCCUAACACAUGCAAGUCGAGCGAGAUUAAGUGUAGUGAGGGCUUCGGCCUGAGUGAAGCUUAUGAAAGCGGCGGACGGGUGAGUAACGCGUGGGCAACCUGCCCCAUACAGAGGGAUAGCCACUGGAAACGGUGAUUAAUACCUCAUAAGUCAGUAGGGUCGCAUGAUUUAGCUGACAAAGAUUUAUCGGUAUGGGAUGGGCCCGCGUCUGAUUAGCUAGUUGGUGAGGUAACGGCUCACCAAGGCGACGAUCAGUAGCCGACCUGAGAGGGUGAUCGGCCACACUGGAACUGAGACACGGUCCAGACUCCUACGGGAGGCAGCAGUGGGGAAUAUUGCACAAGGGGCGCAAGCCUGAUGCAGCAACGCCGCGUGAGUGAUGAAGGCCUUCGGGUUGUAAAACUCUGUCCUAUGGGAAGAAACAAAUGACGGUACCAUGGGAGGAAGCCCCGGCUAACUACGUGCCAGCCGCCGCCGUAAUAC